rnacentral:lncRNA from 1 species
UCUAAUCGAAUAAAUGCAUUCGAGUUUCAAUUUCCAUUAUCUCGGUUUUUUCUUUUUUUUCUUAGCUCUAUCAAACAAAGCAAAGAUCCCAAAACGCUAUUAAAACUUUCGUCUUAUUUGCUUCGUUGGAAAACAACAGAGUUCCUUUCUUCAUCACCAAAUAGACUAACAAAGCUUCCAAUCCACUCUCCACCUUCGCAUCCUCACCAUGAUGUGGAGGUGAUCAGAUUGACCAUGGACAACAGCAAGCGAUUGUGAGAUCUUGUCCACGUGAAAAACCUGUGAGGGUAGAGCCAGGUUGUAUC